GAAUGUGAACUGCAGGACACAUGAACAUCGACACGUUGAACGCAAAUGGCGCAUCGGCUCGCCUCAAAACGACCGAUGCACACAUCCUUGAGUGUCU
rfam:Anopheles minimus strain MINIMTS1 unplaced genomic scaffold supercont1.598, whole genome shotgun sequence.